CCCCAUCCUGUGAGGGGAGGGCGAGGGUUGGCCCCAGGGAGCAAGAAAAAUCAAGAAACCUGUUUGUAUCUUUCUGUCAAUGCUCUUUACCCCGUCUUCGCCUCCACUUGCUGUGUUGUAGGUCCCCCUCCCCUGGCCUCAGUUUCCCCGGCCAUUCAAUAGGAGGAACCCCUGGAUUUCUUUGGGGGCGGAGAAGGGGCGUUGCUUCCAAAGGAGACCCUCUUCUCACCGCACCCCUCCCGGGCGGCGGCGAUCGCCGGGAGGGCCCUCGCAGGCCAGUGGCCGGGCGGCGGCCCGGCGGUGUCACUGUCAGUCAGGGGAGGAGGCAAGGUCGCAGUCUGAGGCCCCCGCCUGGCCUCGGGCGGCGCUGCCGCGGCCUCGCCAACCGCCGGACCCCGCCCGGUGAGCCGCGCACCCGGGCGCAGCGGUGCCCACACUGGAGGCCGGGCGGCGGCGGGGGCGGCUCCAUGCGGUACACGUGUGGCGACGCGAUCGCGGGCCAGGUGAGCCGGCGCCAUGGGGCAGGCGGGCUGCAAGGGGCUCUACCAGUCGCUCUUCGACUACAAGACCGAGAAGUACGUCAUCGCCAAGAAUAAGAAGGUGGGCCUGCUCUACCGGCUGCUGCAGGUCUCCAUCCUGACCUACCUGGUGGUCUGGGUGUUCCUGGUGAAGAAGUGUUACCAAGACACGGACACAUCCCUGCAGAGCAGCAUCAUCACCAAAGUCAAGGGUGUGACCUUCACCAACACCUCAGAGCUUGGGGAGCGGCUCUGGGAUGUUGCCGACUAUGUCAUCCCACCCCAGGGAGAGAAUGUCUUCUUUGUAAUCACCAACCUGGUCGUGACCCCCAACCAGCGGCAGGAAACCUGUGCCGAGAGUGAAAGCAUUCCGGAUGCCUUGUGCUAUGAGGACAGCGACUGCCCUCCUGGGGAGCCUGUUGUGGCUGGAAAUGGAGUGAGGACUGGCCGCUGCCUGCGGGCGGGGAGCGAGCAAAAGGGCACCUGUGAGAUCUUCGCCUGGUGCCCGGUGGAGACAAAGUCCAGGCCAGCGAAGCCACUCCUGGGCGAAGCUGAAGACUUCACUGUUUACAUAAAGAACUUCGUUCGUUUCCCCAAAUUCAACUUCUCCAAGACAAAUGUGCUGGACACCACAGACAGAGCUUUCCUGAAGUCCUGUAAAUUUGGCCCCAAGGACCCCUACUGCCCCAUCUUCCGACUUGGGUCUGUGGUCAGCUGGACGGGGAGCAGCUUCCAGGAGAUAGCUGUGCAGGGUGGUGUGAUAGGAAUUCAGAUUGAAUGGGACUGUGAUCUUGAUAGAGCUCCCUCUGAAUGUUACCCUCGCUAUUAUUUUAACCGUCUGGACAACAGAUUUUCAGAAAACUCUCUUUCUUCUGGGUACAACUUCAGGUUUGCCAAGUAUUACCGAGACGCAGCUGGCGUGGAGCUCCGCACGCUGUUUAAAGCCUACGGGAUCCGCUUUGAUGUGAUGGUGAACGGCAAGGCAGGGAAGUUCAACAUCAUCCCCACAGUCAUCAACGUGGGCUCAGGGGUGGCGCUCAUGGGUGUGGUGAGUACCUCUCCCCCACCCUCUUUACCCUCCAAGCACCCGCAGGGGCGGGCAGCAGGGACACUGCCCCACAGGAGUUGUCCCAGUGCUCCAGAAAGAACCAGAACUGGGGAGGUCAGUGCGGAUGGGGGUGAAGAGGGCUCUCUGGGACUUCACACCCCUCCAGCAGCCCCCAGGUGGCCGUGACUACCUGGGUUUCUCUUUCCAGAGCCAGAGAGGCUUCUGCCUGUGGCUCUGCAGCUGGGGGGGGGGGGGUUCUCUGGGAUCCUGCGCAGCCUUGUCUCCACUUCUGCUAAAAAGAGGCAGGAUCCGGCUAUACACAGGGCUUCUCAGCCGCGGCCCUGUUGACACGUAGGGCCAGAUCACUUUUUUUGUGGGGUGACUGUGUGCAUUGUAGAGUGUCUGACAGCAUCCUCGGCCUCUACCCACCAGACGCCAGCGGCACCUUCCCCCACAGUUGUGACGGCCAAUAAUGUCUCCAGACGUCGCCAAACUGCCCCCCGGUUGUGAAUCACGGGGCUAGAAAGAUGAGAGGCAGGGCAGUCGGGCUGUAGUCCAGGUCUGUCCCUUCAGUUGGGCAGAGGGGCCACCGGAGAGGAAGUAGCAGCUGGAGGGCAGGGAAAGGCUUCCUCUGGAUCUUUCAUGCCCCUUUGUUUUUCUGGAAGUUUUUUAAAGACAAGGCAGUCAUCAGAGUGGCUCACACCCGUACCAGCAAGCCACUUGCCAAGGUUUCUGGCAGCCUUGUCCCUGGUUCCUCUGCCCAGGAGGUCACAGCAGCCCCAUGGGGGCUUCCAGGAGGACCUAGGACUGACUUCUUAUUGAGACCAGGAACACCAUGUCCUGUAGCAGGACUCAAAGAGGCCAUGCUCCUGAGAGGUGGUCAGUGGAUGAAAGUGGGCCCCAAGGGCCUCCUCUUAACUGCUGCAACAUCGUUGGGGAGCCCUGCACGUUUAACAUAGGUAACUUCCCGAGACAGGGGCCACCUUCAGACAUCACUUUAUGAUGGGGGUAAAUCAGAACACAGGCAUCUGGGGACACACUUGUGAAAUGAAGUGGGUGGAGUCGCCCUCUGGUGGAGGAGACUGGUAUUUGCGCCAUCCACUCUGGUCUGAAGAGCUUGUGUUCAGGUGUCAGUGGGUCGGUCCGCUGGGUUGGCUCAGCCCUCCUCAUCUUUCCUUGACCGCUGCUGUGGUGUCCUUGUUGUUCAGAUACCCUCCAGUCCCUCUCUCACUGCCUACUAGAGGGAUUCCCGCAAUGCCACAUUUCUGUUCCUGGCCCUGUUCCCAGGCAUGACGAGCCUGUUCCUCUGCAGUGCCCUUCCUGAGCGAUUUUUCCUUUUUCCUUAUAUAAAAUCCUAUUCAGCCUCAAGACUCAGCCCAGAUGUUCCUCCCCAGGCUGAGUAGCGUCCCAUCUUCUCUCUGCUGCCCCUGCUCCUGUCCCCAUCCUGGGACAUUGUCACUGUCAUAAUUUAUAUGCCCGCCUCCUGCACCAGAGGGGGAGUCCCCAGAGGGUCUCACUGGCUUACUCUUGGCCGCACCCCAGGGCAGUGCUUAGCAGACCCUGGCUGAAGGCGUGAUCCGAUGGGAUCAGGGUAGUGCGGGGUGCUCACCCUGAGGGGUCAGACAGACCACAGGCUAACUCGGGCUCUACCAUGGAGCAGCUCUGUGGCCCUGGACAAAGAUGCCUCUUUCUGAGCGCAGCCCCCCUCAGGGGUUGCUGCAGGAUCAAAUGGGAUGUAGUUGGUGUCAAGUGGCCGGGUGCUCUCUGGAAGUCUAGGAUCCUGAGUCAGGGACCCCCAACUCUUUUGCAGGGGUCUUUCUUCUGCGACUUGGUACUCAUCUACUUCAUCAAAAAGAGCCACUUUUACCGAGACAAGAAAUAUGAGGAAGCGAGGUCAGUUAUGCUUCCUCCCAGCGGCCCUAGGGGAGCCCACUAGGUCAGCCUUUCCCCCUCCCGGGCUCAGAACUCUUACCCUGGUUUUAUGUCGGCGUUUGGCGGGUAGAGGCAGGGCUGAAUACGGGGAGCUCCCUUGGAAGGGCUGGGUAAGGCGGAAUGUUCUGAGUACCCGCUCUACAAAACUGGAUUCUACUUCAGAGCAGCUGGCAGAAGACAAGACCACCCAGGCCAUGGGCAGGAGACCUCGUUUCCAGGCCUGGCCCUGCCACUGUCUCCCCAGGUGACUUUGGACCAGUCCCAGGCCGCCUUGGGCCUUAGUUUCUCUCUCUGUGAGAUGAGAGUGUUGGUUUACAUACAGUGCCUUCCAGCACCUACAAUUUUAGGAUUCUUGGACUUGGUGGUCCUGGUGAGCUGGGGUUUAGGGAAGCUGGAGUGGUAAGGGAAGGAAAAAAAGAAAACGGAUUCCCCCCCCUCACUCUGGGGGCCUGGGGGGGGGGGGAGAGAGAGAGAGAGAGAGUGUGUGUUCAGAGGAGCUUGUGUGUGUGUGUGUUCAGAGGAGCUUGUGUGUGUGUGUGUUCAGAGGAGCUGGUUGUAUGUGUGUGUGUGUGUGUGUGUUCGUGUGUUCAGAGGAGCUGGGAUGGGAAAUGCACUGGGCGCUGCUCCCUCACUCCCACCCCAACCUGGGACGGGGCGGAGGACCAGCCUGCAUCAUCUGCCUGGACUGAACCCCAGCCCUGGUUCUCGGGCUGAGCCCUGAGCCCUCACUGUACCUGCCACCCCUGCUGAGCUGCUGGGGGAAGAGGGGCGCCCCCUGCAGGGCGAGUGGCUCACCUGUCCCAGGGAGGAGGUGGGACCCACAGGCCAGGGUUAAUGGGUCAUGUCCUGCCCAGGGACCUAGAGGUCCUCGCCCGAAUGGCAGAGUCCUCGCAGCAGAGCAUGGCCCCGGACGCGGCGGGGCUGGCGGAGCAGCCAGAGGUGCAGGAUGGAGGUCGCGCCCAGGAGAAUGGCUGUGUGUGCCGGCAGCUCCUCCAGCCUGCCAGGUGAGGGGCUGCCCAGCCAAGGGCCAGGAACGAGGCCCGCAGAGACAGCCCAGCUGGCUACUGUGCUCCCUGCUCUGGGUGACCUGGCCCCAAGGCAGCAUGCCAGGGACCCAGCAGAGCCCAUCCAAGCUGGACUCUGGGGGGGAGGGGUGCUGGUGGUGCUUUAGCCCCUCCACGAUGCCCGUUACCCUCCAGUACCCCUGAGCGACCACAAACCUGUCUGCUUGCUAUGCUGUGCCCACGUUAAGACAGUACUAUCAUUUACUCAGGCUUACUCUGCUGGGCACUGCUCUGAGUUCUUUGUACAUGUGAACUCUUUUCAGCAACCUAAUGAGGUGGACAUUAAUAUUUCCUGUUCUAAUGAGGAAACCAAGGCUCAGAGAGGUCAAGUAACUUGCUCAAGUCACACAGCUAAUAAAUGGCAGAGCUGGGAUUUGAACCUGGGCAGUGGGUUCCUAGAAUCCAGUUCUCCAUCAGGUUGUUUUGCCUUACCGGCCCUUCAUCCCUCCACACCUCAUCAGAUGCCUCCCCCGAAGCUCCUCUUUGAUGUGGAAAUUCUGGAGCUGCCCAAGCCUGAGGACAGUGGUGGCUGUGCUGACAGGUGACCUGCAGGCUGCCCUUCCCUGAGCACUGCCCAGAAGCCCCGGGCAGCCUGGCGCUUUCUGUAGACCUGACCACAGCCUGGCGUGGGAGGGAGCCCUCAGGCCUGCUCUGCUUCCCUGCCUCGCUAUGUGCCCCUGAGCAAGUGCCUGGCCCUCUCUGGGCCUGUUUUCCCUUUUGUUCCGGGGGUGCUGGACACAGGGGAACCUCCAGCUCAGUGAGUAGGGUUCCCUGACUCUCCUCUCGUGAACUACGUCAGAGGCGCUCACUGACCUGGGGCUGGCUGCCCUCUGCUUCGAGCUUCCAUUCUCUGCUGACUCAGCGAUUGGCAGCCUCCAGUGGGUAACUGGGCCUGGGCAGGGAAAGAGGGAGCGGUGAGCCAGGAUGGAGAGGGAAGGCAAAGGAUGGAGAGGAGUGAGGAAAGAACGAUGGAGAGGCUGGGAGAUCUGCUGGGGUAGGCCUGUGCCAGCAGCCCUCCACGUGCUCCCUGUCACUUCCUGGGUGCUCACCUGAGCUCCUUCGCCUACAAGAGGAAAGAGCGGUUGCUCUGCUGGUCUUGGCCAACCUCGCCUGUUGCUGUGGGGCCGCAGCGGCUGCUCAUUGCUGGGCCAGCUCCAGAGGCCGCGGCCUGAGCGCCUCCCUGUGCCUGGGCUGUGGCCAGGGAGCCCUCAGACUGCUGCUGUGAACGCUCACUGCCUACCGCGCUGCCAGCCAGAGGCUUCUGCAGGCGGAGCCUGCCUUUAGGGAGGCCGUCCCUGCCUGCAGGGCUCCCAAGCGUCCUCUGUGCCCCCACCCGCCCACACACAGGUCUGGCCACCAGGGGAAUGGAAAGGUGAAUGUGGAGCAGCUGCAGAACCUGCAGACCGUGGAGGCAUAGCCAGAGCUGUUGGCUGACAGCAGAUUUGGUGAAGAUUUGAGGGCAGAACUGCCCACAGCUCUGAACUGGAAAGAGUCAUCGUCAUCCACGUGGGACGGGGCUUCCAGGCACAGCCCACUCUCCUGCACUUUGGGAUCCUGCUACAAGCUUUUUGUUGUGUGUGUGCGGAGGGGAGCCUCCCAGUGGCCACAGUGGCUCAUGCAGAAGAGGCCCUGGGGAGGGGAAGGGUGGAGGGCAGGCCAAGGGCCUAGAGUGUUUUCAUUUUUCCUGAGAACUUAGUAGGGCAUUCAGUUAUUCAUUCACAUAACAAACACUGAUGCCUGCUGCGGGCUGGGCCCUGUCCAAAAGAUGCUUGAAUGAGACACUGACCUGGCCCCCAGGGAGGGGGGCACGCGUAUAAUUCCCUCCAGAGCCGACAGACAUGACAGCUGGGCCCAGGACUCUGGCCUUCCUCCAGCCUCUAGCUGAGACCUGCACAAAUCCCUAGAGCGAAUGAUGGCUCCUCAGAGAAGGACCUUGGCCAACACCCAAGGGGACAUGUGGCCUUGCCCCCAGGGGUGAAAUUUAAAGGUGGCCAAGGAGGCAACUGGGAAAGGACUGGACCUGUGAGGAGGCAGCUGGCCAUGAGGAAGGAGAGCCUCGGGAAGCUCAGGGGAUAGCGUCUCACCCAGAUGGGAGACACAUCUGCCUGUGUGGUUUGGCUCUCGCUGUUCUGUGGGGCUUGCAGUGUCCCUGCCCGGCUUCCCUCCCUGUCUCCUCUAGGGCUCCAUCUAAUGAGAUGAUGAAUGGCGCUCAGUCGUCAGGUGGAAACAGUUGUUACUAGGCUGGCCUUCAACCCCCUCCCUCAGUGGCUGUAAAGCACUGCUAUUAAAGUGUGGUCUGGACCAGCAGCAUCCGCAUCAUCUGGGAGCUUGUUAGAAAUGCAGUCUCAGGCCCCUCCCUCAUCCCCCUAAAUCAGAACCUGCAUUUCAGCAAGACUCCCAGGUGAUUCACACGCACGUGAAAGGUUGAGAAGCAGUGCUUGAGGAGAUAGCGCAAGCUACUUUGAGACCAAGCAGAUUCCCCCCUUCCCUCCCUCGGGAAAGUGGCAUUAUGCUCAAUUCAUUUAAAUUAAAAUAUUUUGGCUAGGUCAUACUUAAAUGACUCAAAAUUUAAGAGGUACAAAAGAACAGAAGUGAAAAGCUUCCCUCCCACCCGUUCCCGGAGGCAACCUGUGUUACCAAUUCCAAGAGGCUCACCUGUCUUGCUGAGAAUCCACUGGGUUACUCACGCCUUCCCUCAGGAAAUGAAGUUUUCCUGCCGCCUGCAGUCAGACCAAGUCUCCUCUGUCAGAUGCAAGAGAAUAUGCUGGGCUAGGGAGCCGGCUGGCUCGCUUCUCCCGCUGCACUGGCUGAGGAGCCCCAGCGAAAACGCAAGGGGAGGGGUCUAGAACUCAAUCAUGGUUGUUGAAACCAGCUGGCAGCCCAGGCCUGCAGUGCUGCCCGUCACCCAGCAAGCCUGGGUGCUGUGUGAGCACCUGCCCUGACUCAAGGGAGCACCCUCUCUGGGAGGACUCUGGUUCUCCUCCGCACAGAGCGGGGAGUAAACAUCCUUCCACUGGGGCCUUUGGACAAGAGGGUUGGAGGGGCGGAAAGGUCUCUGGCGAGGCUGGCCUCUGGGGCACAGGGGCGUGGUCCCCAGAACUGGACCCCUUCUAGAUCAAGCAGCUCCUCCCCUGGGCUGCUAGGUGACCUGUCAGCAAGCCCAACCUGCUGUCUGAAGAGAAAGUGAAAACUCCAGGUGAUUUGCUGUGGUGUUUCACUUCCUCUCUAAGGCUAACCCUUGGAUCUGAUAACACAGCAUGUUACCUAUAUGUUUGGGAGUGAAAAGGGCAGGGGUCACGGCCACUGAGGAGUUGGGUCUGGUUUCUUUUAAUCUGCUUUUGGAAUCGCUUGGCAGCGGCCGUAACACUUGACAGCUGUGCUAUUUGUUUUAUACUGGAAUGGAAAUGUCUCCCUACAGCUACUCCUUCAGUCAGUAAAUAUUUAUUGAGUGCCUACUGUGUCAGGUGUUGGACUAAAUGCUGGUGACACAGUGGCUAGCAGCACAGAAACGGUCCCUGCCCAGGUGCUCAGAGUCUAGAGGUCACACAUCAAUCACAAACAGGAUGGGAUGCUUUGAGAGUCCUCAGUGAGGAGGGGCCAGGUUUCCACAAGGAAGUGACACACAAGUUGAAGUCAGAAAGGUUAGUAGCAGUCUAACUAGGUGAUGGGGGAAGCAUCCACGUCAGGGAACUGCAUGUAGAAAAGACGUGAGAAAGAGCAACUGAGGAACUGGAAUGCAGACGGUGUCACUGGAGCAGCUUCUGUGAGGCUUUCAUCAAGUUAACGUUCUUUAAUUUUAAGGGUUGCCCCUUUAAACUUACUGCCAUGGAGGACUUAACCUGUUUCUUCAAGUACAGCAAAGCUUUCCAGGUGGCCUCUCCCGUACGUCAGAGGCCCCAUGCUCAGGAAGCCAGACUGGCCAGUGGCCCCCAUCAAAGCUUCUGGAUGGUGUAACACACAGCCAGUUCCCAUGCUUCUGCACAGCAUCACCCCUGCCCGCGUUUUUGCAGAAACUUGGUGAAUGAGUAGGAGGCUCAUUAAUCUUACAGAAAUUGGCUUUGAAGUGGGAAGAAGAGAAGCAGGAACUUGAGCACUUUCCAAACCUGGGAAAGCCCCUUUCCCUCGGUGCACCUCAUCAGGAAGAUGAUCAUGCUAGCCUCUUAAGAUCUUUCCAUGCUGACAUUUCAGCAUCACAAGAAUUGUCUAUGCUUAUGUUCAAGCCCUGGCCUAAAGCCAUCUACCUAUUCCAUGCCUUUGGAGUACCAUGAUGCUGGCCAAUGGGAAAGUUUCAAAUUGGGUGCUAUUAAUGUGACAUCAUAGGGACCAGCCAUUGAAAGACCAAAGAGCGGGCUUCCCUGGUGGCGCAGUAAUUGAGAAUCCGCCUGCCAGUGCAGGGGACAUGGGUUCGCGCCCUGGUCCGGGAAGAUCCCACAUGCCCCGGAGCAACUGGGCCCGUGCGCCACAACUAUUGAGCCUGCGCUCUAGAGCCCGUGAGCCACAGCAACUGAGGCCCGCGCACCUAGAACCCGUGCUCCGCAACAGGAGAGGCCACCGCGAUGCGGCAAAGAGUGGCCCCCACUCACUGCAACUAGAGAAAAACCCGCAGGCAGCAACGAAGACCCAGCGCAGCCAAAAAUAAAAUAAUUUAUAUAUUAAAAAAAAGCGCAAAGUGCCCUUUACUCCUGAUGCAGUGGUCAUCAGGACUGAUCAGUCACAGAUGCCUUUUUUGUGCCCCCCAAGCCCAUCAGUUCCUUUCUCAGUGGCUAGCUGACCCCUGGGGAUAAAGGGGGGAAUGUGACUUCCUCCAGGUGUCUGAGUACCCCAGAUAGGGUCUGCAGUGCCCUGGGAAGUCCUUAAAUCACCCCAUUUGGAAUGGCAACUUGCACGUCUGGAAAAGGGCUCCACUUGGUUCCAACCUGCCCCCCCCCCCAAGUGGUACAACUCUCCUCAGAGCAUAUUGUCCAGUGGACCCAAGAAUGCUCUCUACAAAAGAUACCUUUCUUUCAGCUGUUUCCCCUUAGGCCAGCACACAGAAUUAAAGGGGGGAGAUAUCAAGCAUUUUCUGGGUCCUGACCAGUAUAUGUAUUUUCUGACAUUUUAAUUUGGUUAUAAAACAAUAAAAGGUGUUAACUUUAAA